GGCCUGCUAGCUCAGUCGGUUAGAGCGUCGUGCUAAUAACGCGAAGGUCGUAGGUUCGAUCCUGCGCAGGCCA
rnacentral:tRNA from 1 species